ACCUGGGUGGCUCAGUCGGUUAAGUAUCUGACUUCGGCUCAGGUCAUGAUCUCACAGUUUGUGGGUUCGAGACCCACAUCGGGCU
rnacentral:tRNA from 1 species